UACGUAGGGGGCAAGCGUUAUCCGGAUUUACUGGGUGUAAAGGGAGCGUAGACGGCGAUGCAAGCCAGAUGUGAAAGCCCGGGGCUCAACCCCGGGACUGCAUUUGGAACUGUAUAGCUAGAGUGUCGGAGAGGCAGGCGGAAUUCCUAGUGUAGCGGUGAAAUGCGUAGAUAUUAGGAGGAACACCAGUGGCGAAGGCGGCCUGCUGGACGAUGACUGACGUUGAGGCUCGAAAGCGUGGGUAGCAAACAGG
rnacentral:rRNA from 1 species